ACGCUUGUAGUCUAAUGGUGAAGAUAUUUGCCUUCCAAGCAAAGGAUCCGGGUUCGAUUCCCGGCGAGCGUA